rnacentral:rRNA from 1 species
UAGGGAAUCUUCCACAAUGGACGCAAGUCUGAUGGAGCAACGCCGCGUGAGUGAAGAAGGUCUUCGGAUCGGUAAAACUCUGUUGUUAGAGAAGAACACGAGUGAGAGUAACUGUUCAUUCGAUGACGGUAUCUAACCAGCAAGUCACGGCUAACUACGUGCCAG